rnacentral:rRNA from 1 species
GAUGAACGCUGGCGGCGUGCCUAAUACAUGCAAGUCGAGCGAACAGACGAGGAGCUUGCUCCUCUGACGUUAGCGGCGGACGGGUGAGUAACACGUGGAUAACCUACCUAUAAGACUGGGAUAACUUCGGGAAACCGGAGCUAAUACCGGAUAAUAUAUUGAACCGCAUGGUUCAAUAGUGAAAGACGGGUUUGCUGUCACUUAUAGAUGGAUCCGCGCCGCAUUAGCUAGUUGGUAAGGUAACGGCUUACCAAGGCAACGAUGCGUAGCCGACCUGAGAGGGUGAUCGGCCACACUGGAACUGAGACACGGUCCAGACUCCUACGGGAGGCAGCAGUAGGGAAUAUUCCGCAAUGGGCGAAAGCCUGACGGAGCAACGCCGCGUGAGUGAUGAAGGUCUUCGGAUCGUAAAACUCUGUUAUUAGGGAAGAACAAAUGUGUAAGUAACUAUGCACGUCUUGACGGUACCUAAUCAGAAAGCCACGGCUAACUUCGUG